rnacentral:rRNA from 1 species
GAUGAACGCUGGCGGCGUGCCUAAUACAUGCAAGUCGAGCGAACGGACGAGAAGCUUGCUUCUCUGAUGUUAGCGGCGGACGGGUGAGUAACACGUGGAUAACCUACCUAUAAGACUGGGAUAACUUCGGGAAACCGGAGCUAAUACCGGAUGAUAUUUUGAACCGCAUGGUUCAAAAGUGAAAGACGGUCUUGCUGUCACUUAUAGAUGGAUCCGCGCUGCAUUAGCUAGUUGGUAAGGUAACGGCUUACCAAGGCAACGAUGCAUAGCCGACCUGAGAGGGUGAUCGGCCACACUUGAACUUAGACACGGUCCAGACUCCUACGGGAGGCAGCAGUAUGGAAUCUUCCGCAAUGGGCGAAAGCCUGACGGAGCAACGCCGCGUGAGUGAUGAAGGUCUUCGGAUCGUAAAACUCUGUUAUUAGGGAAGAACAUAUGUGUAAGUAACUGUGCACAUCUUGACGGUACCUAAUCAGAAAGCCACGGCUAACUACGUG